rnacentral:rRNA from 1 species
UGGGGAAUUUUGGACAAUGGACGCAAGUCUGAUCCAGCCAUGCCGCGUGCGGGAAGAAGGCCUUCGGGUUGUAAACCGCUUUUGUCAGGGAAGAAACGAGUUUCUCUAAUACAGAGACUUAAUGACGGUACCUGAAGAAUAAGCACCGGCUAACUACGUGCCAGCAGCCGCGGUAAUACGUAGGGUGCAAGCGUUAAUCGGAAUUACUGGGCGUAAAGCGUGCGCAGGCGGUUAUGUAAGACAGAUGUGAAAUCCCCGGGCUCAACCUGGGACCUGCAUUUGUGACUGCAUAGCUGGAGUACGGUAGAGGGGGAUGGAAUUCCGCGUGUAGCAGUGAAAUGCGUAGAUAUGCGGAGGAACACCGAUGGCGAAGGCAAUCCCCUGGGCCUGUACUGACGCUCAUGCACGAAAGCGUGGGGAGCAAACA